rnacentral:rRNA from 1 species
UACAGAGGGUGCGAGCGUUGUCCGGAAUCACUGGGCGUAAAGGGCGCGUAGGUGGCCUGAUAAGUAGGGGGUGAAAUCUCGAGGCUCAACUUCGAGGCUGCCUCCUAAACUGUCAGGCUUGAGCAGAGUAGAGGCAGGUGGAAUUCCCGGUGUAGCGGUGAAAUGCGCAGAUAUCGGGAGGAACACCAGUAGCGAAGGCGGCUCGCUGGGCCAUUCCUGACGCUGAGACGCGAAAGCUAGGGGAGCGAACAGG